CCUACGGGUGGCAGCAGUGGGGAAUAUUGCACAAUGGGGGAAACCCUGAUGCAGCAACGCCGCGUGAAGGAAGACGGUUUUCGGAUUGUAAACUUCUAUCAAUAGGGAAGAAAGAAAUGACGGUACCUAAAUAAGAAGCCCCGGCUACCUACGUGCCAGCAGCCGCGGUAAUACGUAGGGGGCAAGCGUUAUCCGGAAUUACUGGGAGUAAAGGGAGAGUAGGCGGCAAGGUAAGCGAUAUGUGAAAGCCCUAAGCUUAACUUAAGGAUGGCAUAACAAACUAGCUAGCUUGAGUACAGGAGAGGAAGGCGGAAUUCCUGGUGUAGCGGUGAAAUGCGUAGAUAUUAGGAAGAACACCAGUGGCGAAGGCGGCUUUCUGGACUGAAACUGACGCUGAGGCUCGAAAGCGUGGGGAGCGAACAGGAUUAGAUACCCCUGUAGUC
rnacentral:rRNA from 1 species